rnacentral:rRNA from 1 species
UACGUAGGUGGCGAGCGUUAUCCGGAAUUAUUGGGCGUAAAGAGCGCGCAGGUGGUUGAUUAAGUCUGAUGUGAAAGCCCACGGCUUAACCGUGGAGGGUCAUUGGAAACUGGUCGACUUGAGUGCAGAAGAGGGAAGUGGAAUUCCAUGUGUAGCGGUGAAAUGCGUAGAGAUGUGGAGGAACACCAGUGGCGAAGGCGACUCUCUGGUCUGUAACUGACACUGAGGCACGAAAGCGUGGGGAGCAAACAGGAUUAGA